UCAGAGUGAGAGAGACAGAGAUAGAGAGAGGACCAGAGGGCACAAUCAGGAGCAGACAAAGAAAAAAAUGUAGGUGUGAAAGGUUGUGAAGGAGUAGAAUUCCGCCUCUCAAUUAUAGCAUAGUUCCUGAUGUACGUACACUUGUAUAGAUUAGUUGCUAUAUAUAACUCAUCUUACAUAGCAGAGAGCAAGAGAGAAAGAGAGAGAGAACAUGGAGAAAAAUGAUAGAGGAACCAUGGAGAACAAUGAGAAAGCUGUUACAACUGAAGAGACAAAGAUUAACUACAGAGGAUGGAAAUCCAUGCCAUUUAUCAUAGGUAAUGAAACUUUUGAGAAACUUGGAGCCAUUGGCACCUUGUCCAACCUCCUGAUCUAUCUUACUGGUGUCUUCAACAUGAAGAGUAUUACAGCUGCACUUAUCAUCAACAUCUUCAAUGGUACCACCAACUUUGCCACUUUGCUUGGCGCUUUCAUUUCUGACACUUACUUUGGCCGCUACAAGACUUUGGGACUUGCAACAAUCGCCUCAUUUAUGGGAUUGCUUGCAAUACAACUAACAGCGGCAAUCAAGAAGCUGCAUCCACCCCACUGUGGAUCAGGACAGAAUGACACUUGCACAGGGCCAACAACAGGGCAAAUGGCAUUUUUGCUGACUGGUUUUGGAAUGCUAAUAGGAGGAGCUGCUGGCAUCCGGCCAUGCAACUUGGCCUUUGGAGCAGACCAGUUCAACCCUGAGACAGAAUCUGGGAAGAAGGGAAUCAAUAGCUUUUUCAAUUGGUACUUCUUCACUUUUACUUUUGCCCAGUUGGUAUCCUUGACCCUCAUUGUGUAUGUGCAGUCCAAUGUGAGCUGGGCUAUAGGUUUAGGAAUCCCAGCAAUUCUGAUGCUCAUCUCAUGUGCACUCUUUUUCAUGGGUUCAAAAAUGUAUGUGAAAGUGAAAGCCACAGGUAGCCCUGUGACUAGUGUGGCACAGGUCAUAGUGGUUGCUACUAAGAAAAGGCAGUUAAAGCUACCAGAACAACCAUGGCUUUCCCUCUUCAAAUAUAUGCCUCCUAGUUCUAUCAACUCCAAGCUUCCUUACUCGGACCAAUUCAGAUUCCUGGAUAAAGCAGCAAUCGUGACUCCCCAAGACCAAAUAAACCCAGAUGGAUCAGCAACUGAUCCAUGGAAACUUUGCUCCAUGCAGCAAGUGGAAGAAGUGAAAUGCUUGCUGAGAGUGAUUCCUAUAUGGGUUGCAGCCAUCUUAUACCAUCUUGUUAUAGUCCAACAGAAUACAUAUGCAGUUUUCCAAGCCGUUCAAUCUAACAGGCAACUAGGAAAUAUCAACUUCAAGAUCCCACCUGCAUCUUACAUUGUCUUCAUGAUGCUGAGCUUGACCAUAUGGAUACCCAUCUACGACAGAAUACUUGUCCCAUUCCUUCGAAGGAUCACCGGAAAAGAAGGCGGCUUCACAAUCCUCCAGAGGAUGGGCAUGGGCAUAUUUAUCUCCAUACUCACAAUGCUGGUAUCUGCCCUGGUGGAAGAGCGUCGAAGGACCAUAGCUCUAACCAGGCCAAAUAUGGGGAUUGCACCAAGAAGAGGUGCCAUUUCCUCCAUGCCAGGUCUAUGGUUGAUUCCUCAACUCAUGCUAGCAGGACUAGUUGAAGCAUUUGCUAGUGUUGCCCAAGUUGAGUUCUACUACAAGCAAUUCCCCGAGAACAUGAGAAGCAUUGGAGGGUCUCUUUUCUUUUGUGGCAUUGGAUUUUCAAGUUAUUUGAGUAGUCUCAUGAUAUCAAUAAUUCAUCGAACAACAGAGGGUGCUGCAAGUGGAAAUUGGUUGCCAGAAGAUCUUAACAAGGGAAGAUUGGAUUACUUCUAUUACACAAUUGCUGCUAUAGAGGUCUUGAACUUCUGCUACUUUCUAGUUUGUGCAAAGUGGUACAAGUACAAAGGGGCUUGCAAGGAUACCCUCCAAGACAACCUAGGAUCAAUACAACUGGAAAAGACUGCUGUCUGAUUAUCAAGUUCGUAGACAAAUGAUGAAGAAAAAGUGCAAGCUCUAUCCUCGCUAGCAUGUUUCCUGCACAGAUUCUUGACCCACCUCCAAAAACUUGCAUGAUGUCUCUCACCUCACUUUUGAAGAACACCAAGAUAUAUCAAGGUUCCUCUCUCUCUCUCUCUCUCUCGACAUAGUGGAAAUGUGUAGAGGUCUUUGAAAAUGUGAAUAUAUAGUGACCUCUAAAAAAACCCUAAAAUUAGCGCAUGAAGUUUUUUAAAUUUCGGCUAUUGGUAUUGUUAACGGGCUUAAUAUACACAUAAUUAAUGCUAAGCAAUGCCUAGGGGCUUUAACCAAUAACCACACACAUAUAUAUAUAAAAGUUCCAAUUAAUGUAAUGGUACGUAUGUCAUCAUAUAUAUAUAUAUAUGCAUGCAUGUAACCUUCUUGAUUUCAUCGUAUGCUUUGAUUUUGCCCCUCUGCGCCCACGAUUGGAGCGCGCGCGGCUACCAUGCGUGGCUGGACAUGAAGAUCGAUGCGCCGGAGAGCAUCGGGGCGGUUAAUGGCGUUCAAUAUGUAGCUUCUAAGCCUGGCAUGGGACUUUCCGUGUACUGCUACCAAAGAAGCAGGGCCAGUGAGAUCGACCUGUGGCCACUUCAGGAUAAAUUUAUCGUCUGAUUGGAAUAUAAACUUAUUGAUUGAUGGGAAGCAUGCUAUGAUGGACGGUGAUCCGAAGAGGAAGGGAAAAUAUUCAUCAUCUUACUUGCGUCGCUUGGAGUUGAUGAAUUCAUUCGGCCGCCGAAGAAUUUUGAAGUACCAGAGGAAGGUGAGCAUUUCUCCAAGCAAUGGGAAGCCCAUAUGCCCCGGCGGGAGAUUGGUCCCGGUAGCCGAGCACCGAGCUUGGAGAGGAGCAACGUACCAAAGCUCAUUCCACCACCAAAGCAGCCACCCCAGCCGCGGCAAACCUCCUAUAAACAAACCCAACCACAAUUUAACCCCUACUGUCAUUUCCAUCCUGAUAUUUGCUAAGCCUCGAUAUCUAGUGUAUUAAUCUCUCUCUCUCUCUCUCUCUCUCUCUCUCUCUAUAUAUAUAUAUA